UCCGUCUCGCUCACGCUCAGAGCCGAGUGCUCCUCCUGCUUUUUUUUCACACAGCACAAGCUCACAAUCUCCCCUCUGCUCACCCAGACGACGUCGUUUGCUUCGGUUUCCUUCGAAGAACAACUUGGAGUUGAGAGUGCUUUGUAGCAUUAAGGAGGAGGAAGGCGUCAGAGAAACCAAGAGGGUCAAUGGGCUACCGGUGGAUAAGGUCCAACGGGCGGGUUCGGGUUCUGGGUCCGAUUCUGAUGGGGAAUUGAGUCAGGAAAGCGGUUCUGGGGAAGUGGGUUUUGAUUGGGAUUGGCCGCCGUGGAAUAACGUACCUCAGAGGUACAAGCUCAUUGGGUCUGGGGAAGUGGGUUUUGAUUGGAAUUGGAGAAGGCAUUUCCCCAUCCGCCGCAACAGACCUUAUUGCCAGGCGUGACAAUACCUUUGGAAGAGCGUUGCUGUAGCAUUUGUCUUUCGUGGUCUGGAUUUAUUUAUUUAUUUAUAUUAAAAAAUGAAAAGGGGAAAGUCGAAUCUGAGAUUCUGAAUACAACAUGAGGAUGUUUUAAUUUUUGGUGUCAUUCUAAAUAAGAUUUAGUUUUCUUAUGUCUAUAUUUGUUGUGCACUCCGCGUUCAUUGGUACCCAUUUCUAGCAUUGGACUUCUUGCAGGUUUCUUCUAGCUCCUCCCCUUAUCCAAAAUCUGGGCUGGGAAUCUGUAUUUUACAUAUUUUCCUCUUUGGGGAUUGCGUGGAACGAAAACAAGAUUCUGUUUCCUUUUUUGGAUUUUCUGCCAAGUACCACCCUUCCAUCAUGAUUAAAUAUAAAAGAACUUACUUGGCCAAUUCAUCGUAUCUGGGUUUUCAGUUUCUCGAAGGACAAACCUCAUGGGUUGGUGAAUCAAUUCCACUGAAUCAUAUCUGCAAGUGGAUUUCUGGUGGUAUAUAGCAUUCCUAGUUUGGUGACUUCUUGUAGUUGCUUAGAAGCUCGAUCGUCGUCAUGGCAAGGUUGUUCGGUGUAUGGGGAAGGCGUGGGUUUGUGAGAUGGGUGCCUCCUUUUCCAGAUCGACCACAGGACAGGUCAUCGCCCAGAUCGAGGAAGUGGCAACCCUAAAAGGUCAGCUUGCGGCCCAACAAGUAGCACAGGAGGCCGAAGCAGCAGCUUGGGAAGCCCGGGAAGCCGAGAUUAUAGUCCAGUUUUCAACCCAGGAUGAGAAGAUUGGUAUGAUCUUACUGGCCUUACAGAUGUCCGGCCUCCAAAUCCUGAUGCUAGCACUUGAUCUUGCUCUACCUUCGACCUCCCAACCACUUCGCCUAGUCGAUACCCAGUAGCCUGAUGCAUCAAGCCUAGAAGACUACUUGUUGUAGUUUUUUCCUUUAUAUUGUAUGUAUAUUUUCAUAUAUUUUAUAAUUAAAUAUUUUUUCUUGGUACCAAUCUUCUUAAUGAAGAUUAGAGCAAUCAAAUGGAGCUUCAUAGGAUAAGUGUGUGAGGAUUAUACAAAAGUCAAGUGGUGCAAACCUUGCUGUGGAUAUAAGGAGUCUUGGGUGCACUGUCUUGGACAUUGCUACGACAAAAACCACCUUGGAGCCAGUAUAAAGGGGGUUUAUGCUGGGUUUUAGUACAAUUUUUAAGGGAUGUAUGAUCUGGUGAGGUUUCUCAAGGCCAUACAGAAGGCAGGACUCUAUGCUCACCUUCACAUUGGCCCUUAUGCUUGUGCUGAGUGGAACUUUGGGUUGAAGGAGUCAGCGAUGGAAUUUUGGAUGCCGAAGAGAAGAAGCCUUAUUAUUUCUUCUUUCUUUUUGAGUGAGCAUCUCUUUCUUUUCUUCUAAUUUUGCUUCUUUCUUUUUGUUGUCGAAUGUUUCAAAAUUUCAACUCACAUGUUCGUGUUCAUUGUUGAGAAGUGUAUUUUGUUAUUAGUAGGCCAUUAUUCUGUCUUUUCAGUAAUUGUUUCUUUAUUUUUUUUUUCGUAUUAGUUUUCGCAAAACCUAAUCGUC
rnacentral:sRNA from 1 species